UGCGCGUAGAGAGAGAGAGAGAGUUCAAAGAGAGAAACGUGAAAUGCAAAUUUUUCUUAAAACCCUGCAAAGAGCUGUGGUUUUUCACAUUGUCUCUUCGAACUUUUGAUUCUCUUCUACAUGUUUAUUUGUAUUUCGGAAAACCAAAAAGGUAGUGCAAAAAUCAAAGUUGGAAGAGACAAUGCUUUACAAAUUGCAGAGUCUGAAAUUAUUUGGUUACGAGGGUAAAUAUCUUUAGAAAGGGGGCUUAGUUUACAUCUUAUUCUCUGUCCAUGUUUGGUUGCACCAGCAUUUUAAUGUAUCGAGUGGCUGAAUGUUGAAACUAUUAUAACCAAAAAAAAAAAAGGAAUGUUGAAACUAAUAUCAGUAACUUGCUCUCACUGAAAUGAUCCUUUAUUUUCUUUAUUUCCUAUUCAGUAGUGGUGUAUUCUUGUCCUGUUCAACUUUUGCUUCGUAAUUCGUGUACUCUUCCAUUUUGAUAAAUUAAGAUGAUAAUUUAUUUUUUGUUGUUGAUAAUUUAAUGUUGUAUGUGCAUUUUGGCGUUUAAUUUCCUGACUUUACUAGCAAAUCGUGAUUCGUCGCAAUAGCAGACCUGAGUAGUAUUUCUGCUAUUCUUUAGUUUGAUUUGUUGUCAUAUGAACCAGAAGGAAGAUUUCUGGAGGUAUUCUGAUUUAGAUAGAAAAGGGUUCGGAAAAACACUUUGGGAUAAGUUAAAACUUGAUCUGUACUGAAGAUGAAAAAGGUAUUUCGAGCUAGACAUCUGCGGCAAGUUUGUUUGCUUGUUACCGGUAUGACCAGCCUUUUGCUGAUCAUCUGAUGAUGCUUUGUAUGUGGUGGCUUAAACUUGUUGAGACUGUGUCUCUUUGUCUUGAAUCUCUUGAUUGGUAUUUUGCUGCCAGUUUUUCUACUGUAAAGUUUGAGUAUCAAAACGGUUUUUCCUUCAUAAACUUGAAAUUUUGUGAUGCCUUGUUGAGAAUGUUGUAGUACUCUCCUUGGCUAUUUUUGUUAUAACUACUGUUUUGAUCUAAUGUUAAGAACCUUUUGAUGAACUUUUUUGUCUGUGUAUGGUGUUGUGGGUCUUGACAACCUCUACUUGCCAUGUUAGGAAGAUCAAAGAACUGCAAUUCUGCAAACAUGUGGUACCGCAUCGCAAGG
rnacentral:lncRNA from 1 species